GCCCCACCCCGUCCAUUGGGAAAGAGGUAUAUAUCUUUAGGGAAUUCUCUGCAGCUGGGUAAGGGGUGUCAUUUAGAAGAAAUCCAACCUGUGGUAUUCCUUGCUAAAAGCCACGCUGACGGCAGUGUGACCCUGGCACCCAGGAAAGUUCCUUCCUAUCUCUGGGGGCCAGUCUGCCCGCCGCUACCUCUUCUCCGAGGGCUGGAGGACCGGGAUGGUCCAGAUUCUCACUGUGAUUGGCUGACAUCAGGCUCCAGGUAUUCUCUUUUCUGCUUUCUACUAUGAAGCCGCCUUCAGGGGCUCACAGAGGUUUUUCGCAACCUAUGACUUCUUCCCAAUAGAUCUAUGAAAAUACCGAGAGAACAGUUCUGAGAGGCACAAAGAUGGUGAGGAACUUCAAAGAACUUUGCUCAUCAUUUUG
rnacentral:lncRNA from 1 species